AUCUGAUGAGAAAGACCAAGAUGCUAUAGAAACUGAUGCCAUGAUCAAGAAAAAGACAAAAUCUUCAAAGCCUUCAAAACCAGAAAAAGAUAAGGAGCCCAGAAAAGGAAAAGGAAAAAGUUCGAAGAAAUGAAACCAUUUUUCACUAGCGACAGCCACUUUUUACUCUCCCUCCUGACCAGUCCAGCUGGUCUAGAGAAAGCCUUGUUUUUUCCCAGAGCAACCAUGUUUUAGCAUAAUGGGAUGACCUGGUGUCCCAUUAUAAAUAAAGGGUGGUAUGGCUAGAAGGGUAUGAGCAGUAGGCUUAUGUACACCUCUUAUAGAGGUUGAUAGGACUGCUUGGGUCCUCCACUGUCCUCUGUCAAUCUAGUUAGACGUGCUUCUGAAUGACUGUAGAAUUGGAACUAGAAACUACACCUGGGCUUUGGAGUCAGAUUUUAGUUAACAAUAAUGAGCCUGGGAGCAGUAGUACUAAGGCGUCUUUUGUAGGCUUAAGAAUUUAUCCUAAUGGCCUUUAUAGGACCAAUGCUGAUUUUUUUUAAAGGCAGUUCCUAUUAUGUGGUGAAAUUUUGUAAAUAAAUGAUUAUACAAAACAGUCACCACCUAGAACUGGGUAUUCUUUGUACAUUGUCAGAUAUCUUUCAAAGUAUAAAUUAGGAAUAAAAAUGUUCCACAUGAUAUGUGUACAAAUUCUUUUUAAGAUUGUCAUCUUGUACAGCAAAAUAUUAUGUUGGUAUAUUACUUCCUUAUUAAUUUGCAAAUGAUUGGAUUAAAAAAGCUCACUGUAUUCCUUACUAACCUGUUGUGUGAAACAUAACAUUGGCAGUCGAGGAGUCAGAACUCGGAUUCCCAGCCUCACUCCCUCUGUGUGUGUUGACCACGUCUCUGCUGUGAAUAGGAUUUCAUGCAGUGGUCUGUUAUGGGGCUUUGCAGCGUGGGGGGCUGCAGAAGAUUCUCAGACAUUCUUAUCCUUCUGGAGUCUCAACCCAUCAGGUUCAGACCAGUAGGAACCAGGCUGGGUCAGGCUCUUAAUUUCACUAUGGUGGGGGACAAAAUGAACACUGGCUUUUGUUCACUUUGCCCCUGAGAGAUCUAGUCCUGUCCUGUGAUGGCUUCCACAAACCCUGUUGGAAGUUUGGGUUAUUCCUAUAACUGUAUGUGUUGAGUGGCCGUGAGGCUAUGGACCUAGCCUGGAAUUUAGAUGUCUAGCUAUUUUUUAAUCUUGUUGGUAAAUGCUCAGAGGUCUGUGCUACCUCUGUGAGGUAUAUACUAAAAUGAAUGUAAAAUAAGGAUCGUAUUCCCUGCUUUAAGGAACUGGUAGUCUUGUUUGGGUGAUGAGACAAAGUUCUUGAGACAUUUAAACUGUAUUUACCAGUGUGAAAAAUGUCAUUUAUGGAGAUUAAUUCAUUAUGGAAAUAAAACAUUGCCUAAGCCCUU
rnacentral:lncRNA from 10 species